AAUGGGAUAAAGCUGUAUCACCAGAACUGAAGAUGCCCCUUCCUAGAGGCUGGGCAGGCCCACAUGGCCAAGGUGUGUUGGAAGAUGAAUUUCUCCCCUGAAUGUCAGGACUAUUCAAACUAAUCACAUGGACCAUUGUACCCAAGAAUGAUAGGAAGAAGAGACAUCCUACAAUGAGACAGCCCCUGUCUCCUCUCCUUACACCAUAGAAGGCAUCAACUGGCAAAAUAUAUAGAUCAUGUCUUUCAUGUUUCCACUUCUUGGUUCAUUCUCUGUCAAUGAACAUCCACAAAUUAUUUUUAAAAUAUUAAAUCUGUUAGU
rnacentral:lncRNA from 1 species